rnacentral:lncRNA from 1 species
GUCAGCUGCAUGGAGCUUCGUUCAAGUAUUUUCUGAGCCUGAUGGAUUUACAGUGAUCUUCAGUGGUCUGGGGAAUAACGCUGGUGGAACCAUGCACUGGAAUGACACACGCCCGGCACAUUUCAGGAUACUAAAAGUGGUUUUAAGGGAGGCUGUGGCUGAAUGCCUCAUGGAUUCUUACAGCUUGGAUGUCCAUGGGGGACGAAGGACUGCAGCUGGCUGAGAGGGUUGAGAUCUCUGUUUACUUAGAUCUCUGCCAACUUCCUUUGGGUCUCCCUAUGGAAUGUAAGACCCCGACUCUUCCUGGUGAAGCAUCUGAUGCACGUUCCAUCCGGCGCUCAGCUGGGCUUGAGGACUUCGCAGGUGAGCAGUAACGGAAAUCAGCCCCGUUUAUUCCUCCCAGCACCUGCCUUAUCCAACUCCCCACGCUGUGGCUGAGUCCCAGCCUGCUAUGGAAGCAUCACUGGACUCCCAUUGAACUCUGUGCAGAUUCGCUGUUCGUAGACAUGGUACCUGAUGGACACCAAGCUACGUACAGCUUCAAGGCCCCUUCUUUCUUUGCUAAUAAAAAAUAAAAAAUAAAA